GGUGAAGUUCCCGAGCGGCCAAAGGGAGCAGACGGUAAAUCUGCCGUCACAGACUUCGAAGGUUCGAGUUGAGCGCAGCGAAACAACAAUGCGGCGCUUGCGACGCGUUGGCCCGCAGGGCGAGGAACGCAGUGACGAGUCAUCCUUCCCCCGCCACCA
rnacentral:tRNA from 1 species